UUCUCUGUUACCAGUCCUACCCAGUCCUACCAGUUUCUUCUUCUCGCUUCGCUGAGAUGGUCAUGUUUAACAACUAACGUUUCAUAUUUUAUUAUUUUUGCAAUUUUUAAUUUCGACCAUCAUUUUUAAAUUAUCAUACUACGCAUCACGCUAUAACGUCUACGCCAUUUUGAAUUUUUAUAAAUUAACGCGCCUUUUUUUUUUUUGGCUGUUUAUCAUAAUUUAUCAGAUGUGUAAUAUUUCAAAUAUUCUUUCCGUUAUCUUCGCCUUUUGACAGUGAGUAUUUUAUUAUUUUACCGGUUUCAGGCUGUAAGAAGGUCCUUAACAUUCACAAAAGUUGGUUUGUAAUGUACCUUAUAACUGUAUUAGAAAUGUAAAAAUGACAUAUCGGUAUUGUAAAAAUGACAUAUUGGUAAUGUUAUAUUUUUACAAUACAGGAAAAGAAGCUACAUAUUUAAUAAACCUUAAUUAUGAAAAUUUUAAGUAACAAUGGAACAGAAACCUAAUGCUAUUUUUAAUAAUAGUAAUUAUUUAUGUUCACCAUGCAAUUAAAACAACCCGAAAGGAGUGAUGCAUUAGUUAGUUUAGGUAAAUUAACGUCACUCAUUUUACAAAUUAAUGAAUUUAAAAAAAAUAAAAUAUUUGUUGACAAAUAAACAUCUUUGUGACUGCCUAGCAACUAACUUGUAUAACGACUUUGACAUUUACGGAAAAAGUUGCAAAUGAAUUUUUGAUUUACUAUUGUUCACAUUAAAGUCAUCAAAAUGCGAAGGUGGUCGCCUGAAACCGAUAAACUAUUGAACAAACCUCGAUGUUAUGACACAUUACAGCCUUAGAUGUCUUAAAAUCCUCGCUCUUCGAGCUCGGAUUUCAAUCUGACAUCUGCGGCUGUAAUAAAUGUCAUAACAUUUCUCGGUAUGUUAAUAGCUAUAAUAUUCAUAGUAUAAUUUUGUAAUAGUUGUCGAUUAUCUGUUUAGCUUUCGGCUGAUAAUGAAGUUUUUACUUUGAAGCCGGUACCGAUUGAUAUUAAAAUUAUUUGCAAGUUCAAAGUUCA